CCUACGGGUGGCAGCAGUGGGGAAUAUUGGGCAAUGGAGGAAACUCUGACCCAGCAACGCCGCGUGAAUGAUGAAGGUCUUCGGAUUGUAAAGUUCUUUUCUAAGGGACGAAGAAAGUGACGGUACCUUCGGAAUAAGCCUCGGCUACCUACGUGCCAGCAGCCGCUGUAAUACGUAGGAGGCAAGCGUUAUCCGGAAUGACUGGGGGUAAAGGGUGCGUAGGUGGUUUGACAAGUUGGUAGCGUAACUCCGGGGCUCAACCUCGGCACUACUACCAAAACUGUCGGACUUGAGUGCAGGAGGGGCAAGUGGAAUUCAUGGUGGAGCGGUGGAAUGCGUAGAGAUUAGGAAGAACACCAGUGGCGAAGGCGGUUUACUGGACUGUAACUGACGCUGAGGCACGAAAGCGUGGGGAGCAAACAGGAUUAGAUACCCUAGUAGUC
rnacentral:rRNA from 1 species